rnacentral:tRNA from 1 species
GCGAGAGUGGCGAAACUGGCAGACGCGCCGGACUUAGGAUCCGGUGGGCGCGAGCCCUUGGGGGUUCGACUCCCCCCUCUCGCACCA